UUUUAAUAGCUUAUAUUAGAGCAUAAUAUUGAAGAUAUUAGGGAAGAAUUUUUCUUUAAAAUAU
rnacentral:tRNA from 1 species